CCUGGUGGCUCAGACAGUAAAGAAUCUGCCUGCAAUGCAGGAGACCAGGGUUCAAUCCCUGUGUCGGGA
rnacentral:tRNA from 1 species